GGUGAUUUCCACAACCCAAGGGAGUUGACUGAGUGCCUUCUUUCCCACUUUCCGAAGCUGAGGGAUGCUGGAGGUUUUGAGUUGUUAAAAAUUUCCGGAAAUACAAGAUCACGUCAGCUUUCUGUUAUUCCGUGUCCAAAUGAAGGCUACACUGUUCAUUACCUGAAAGACCCAUGUCUUCUAAUUAGUCACUCUGUACUUUAUAUUCGUCCUCUACAGCGUAACCUGAACACAGAACAGCAACGGAAUCCAGGAACAUCCACCAAUGCUGGACCACAGAUUCCCUGUCUUCUUUGUGGAGAGGAAUAUCCUUUUACACAAAUAUGACAGCACAACCGGUCUUGUGCCAGGUGGACCUGUGUCAGCAGGAAUCACUCAACAGGCUGUACAUGACUCUGGAGUGCAGGCUGCAAAUGAUUACUGAAGAGGACCCAUUGAAGGCAGCAGAGCUUUACACAACAGCCAUACGUGAAGCAAAUCAAAAUAAAGAAACGCUCACCUUCACACUGAGUUUAAGAGACUCUAAAAUUGAAAGGAAC